rnacentral:rRNA from 1 species
AGGGCCUUGCCCCUGGCCCGUUCGACGAUUAAAUUUUGAUCCUGGCUCAGGAUGAACGCUACCUUAUAGGCCUGAUACAUGCAAGUCGCGGGGCAUCGCGGCGGUGGCUGACUCCGCGGGCGGCGACCGGCGCACGGGUGCGUAACGCGUGAGCAACCUGCCCGGCGCAGGGGGAUAACCGCCGGAAACGGCGCCUAAUACCCCGUGACACAGGGGGGGGCAUCCCCCCCUGUUGAAAGCCCUUUAGGGGGCGGUGCCGGAUGGGCUCGCGUGGCAUUAGCUAGUCGGCGGGGUAGCGGCCCACCGAGGCGACGAUGCCUAGGGGUUCUGAGAGGAAGGCCCCCCACACUGGGACUGAGACACGGCCCAGACUCCUACGGGAGGCAGCAGUGAGGGAUAUUGGACAAUGGGCGGAAGCCUGAUCCAGCCAUGCCGCGUGAAGGAUGACGGCCCCACGGGCCUUAAACUUCUUUUGGCGGGGAGCAAUAAGGGCCACUGGUGGCCCGAUGAGAGUACCCGCCGAAUAAGCAUCGGCUAACUCCGUGCCAGCAGCCGCGGUAAUACGGGGGAUGCGAGCGUUAUCCGGAUUUAGUGGGUUUAAAGGGUGCGUAGGCUGCGCUUCAAGUCGGCGGUGAAACCCCCGCGCUCAACGCUGGGUCUGCCGUCGAAACUGUCGCGCUAGGAUGGGGGCGCC